GCCCGAAUGGCUCAGUGGUAAAGCGUCUCACUAGUAUUGGCUGUCUCAGUUCGAGGACCAGGAGAGUAAGCAUGAUAUGAGAAGAUCGCCAGUUCGAUUCUGGCUUUGGGCA
rnacentral:tRNA from 1 species